rnacentral:rRNA from 1 species
GACGAACGCUGGCGGCGUGCUUAACACAUGCAAGUCGAACGGAAAGGCCCCUUCGGGGGUACUCGAGUGGCGAACGGGUGAGUAACACGUGAGUAACCUGCCCUUGACUUCGGGAUAACUUCAGGAAACUGAGGCUAAUACCGGAUAGGAAUCCUUGCUGCAUGGUGGGGGUUGGAAAGCUUCGGCGGUUUUGGAUGGACUCGCGGCUUAUCAGCUUGUUGGUGGGGUAGUGGCUUACCAAGGCUUUGACGGGUAGCCGGCCUGAGAGGGCGACCGGCCACAGUGGGACUGAGAUACGGCCCAGACUCCUACGGGAGGCAGCAGUGGGGAAUAUUGCACAAUGGGCGGAAGCCUGAUGCAGCAACGCCGCGUGCGGGAGGACGGCCUUCGGGUUGUAAACCGCUUUCAGCAGGGGCGAAGCUUGUGGUGACGGUACCUGCAGAAGAAGCACCGGCUAACUACGUG